rnacentral:rRNA from 1 species
GCAGGGGGACCCUGGAUGCAGCAACGCCGCGGGGAGGAUGACACAUUUCGGUGCGUAAACUCCUUUUAUAUAAGAAGAUAAUGACGGUAUUAUAUGAAUAAGCACCGGCUAACUCCGUGCCAGCAGCCGCGGUAAUACGACGUGCCAGCAGCCGCGGUAAUACGA